rnacentral:RNase_P_RNA from 1 species
GUUAAAUUGGGGGAGGAAAGUCCGGGCUCCAUAGGGCAGGGUGCCAGAUAACGUCUGGGUAGUGCGAGCUAACGGCCAGUGCAGCAGAGAGUAUACCGCCGAUGACUUCUUCGGAAGAACAGGUAAGGGUGAAAGGGUGCGGUAAGAGCGCACCGCGCGACUAGUAAUAGUUCGUGGCACGGUAAACCCCACUCGGAGCAAGACCAAAUAGGUUCUCAUUAGGCGUGGCCCACGCUGAGAACGGGUAGGUCGCUUGAGCCUUGGAGCGAUCCAAGGCCUAGAUGAAUGAUCGCAGUUUCUUCGGAAAUGACAGGACCCGGCUUAUAUAGC